rnacentral:rRNA from 1 species
AACUUUCAACAACGGAUCUCUUGGCUCUCGCAUCGAUGAAGAACGCAGCGAAAUGUGAUAAGUAAUGUGAAUUGCAGAUUUUCAGUGAAUCAUCGAAUCUUYGAACGCACCUUGCGCCCCUCGGUAUUCCGAGGAGCAUGCCUGUUUGAGUGUCA